UACGUAGGGGGCAAGCGUUGUCCGGAUUUAUUGGGCGUAAAGAGCGUGUAGGCGGCCAUGCAGGUCCGUUGUGAAAACUCGAGGCUCAACCUCGAGACGUCGGUGGAAACCGCAUGGCUAGAGUCCGGAAGAGGAAAGUGGAAUUCCUGGUGUAGCGGUGAAAUGCGUAGAUAUCGGAAGGAACACCAGUGGCGAAAGCGGCUUCCUGGUCCAGCACCGACGUUCAGGCACGAAAGCGUGGGGAGCAAACAGG
rnacentral:rRNA from 1 species